rnacentral:rRNA from 1 species
UACGUAGGGUGCGAGCGUUGUCCGGAAUUAUUGGGCGUAAAGAGCUUGUAGGCGGUCUGGCGCGUCUGCUGUGAAAAUCCGGGGCUCAACCCCGGACUUGCAGUGGGUACGGGCAGACUAGAGUGUGGUAGGGGAGACUGGAAUUCCUGGUGUAGCGGUGAAAUGCGCAGAUAUCAGGAGGAACACCGAUGGCGAAGGCAGGUCUCUGGGCCACUACUGACGCUGAGAAGCGAAAGCAUGGGGAGCGAACAGG